rnacentral:lncRNA from 1 species
CUUGAAUCAUACCAGACUCCUGGCUUUAUUUUCUUUGAAAUAAUACUGGGAUGCAUGCACAGCUUAUGGACAAUAAAGAAACCAGUUCUUGUGUAUAUACAGCUCAUAAACUUGUGACUUCCAGAUGGCCUGUGUGCCUGGGCCUCUGGCAGGUCUGCAUGUACCAAUAGGGAAGCAGGAGGCACUCUUCCCUCCCAGGGCUCUGUCUCCCAGUGUAACAGCUUUGUUCUGUAGUGUUUGCAUUCUCUUAGAUCAUUCUCACAUCAGAGUGGAAUGAAUAUGGCCAGAUACUGGGGGAAACAUCACCAGCUGCUCAGCUGGACUGGCUGGUGGUCCAUAGUGGCCUUUGCUGUUGGAUGGGCAUCCAAGAAGAGGCAGCUCACAGAAGGAGAGAUGCAAAUAGCUAGAAACCAACUGGAGGAAGAAGGGAGAGCGAAGGACACUCAUUCUGUUGGUGGGGUGUAAAUUAGAAUAACCUCUCUGAGAAAUCAUUUGGCAAUAUGUAUCAAGAGCCUUAAGUUGUUCACAGCUGAGAGCAUGAGCUUUACAGUAAGAAAGACUCACGUUAAAUUUCAGCCCUUGCUAUGGUUUCAAUCUGGUUUCUCACCUCGAAGCUUAUGCUGGAAUUCAAUCCCUAUUGUGAGAUAGUAAGAGAGUGGAAACUUGUUCUGAUGAUAGUGUGUAAGGUGUGGCCUUUAGGCAGUGAUCGGGAUUAAGUAAGGUCAUCAGGGAGGGACCCCUGUGAUCAAAUACUGGUGGCUUUGUAAGAAGAGAAAUACCAGAGGGGACAUCUCUUGCCAUGAGAUGCCCUGCUCUGCCUUGAGACUACUGGCAAGUAGGCCAUCACAGAUGGCUUCCCUUUGACCUUGGAACAGAACCAGGAGCCAAAAUAAACUUCUUUAUAACUUACCCAGGCUGAGGUUUGUUAUUAGCAACAGAAAAUGGACUACGAUAGCCCACUACCAUGUGUUGAGCACAUUCCUCUGUUUAUUUGUGUUUCAGUUUUGUCAUUUGUGAAAUGCAAAUGAUGUUCUUUUUUUUGAUGCUGUCUCUUUAUAGCACUGUUAUGAGGAUUUAGUGCUUCAAAAAGAAAAAUGAUUGGAACAUGGUAGGCACUCAAGAAUCAUGGUUAGUGAAAUAACUUCUAAGAAGCUAUUGAAAAAUGGGGUCAGAGAUUGAUGCACAAAAAUAAUUCAUCCCAAUAUUAUUUAAAAUAAAGAAAGCUUGGGAGGUAAAGACCCUAGAUGUGGA